rnacentral:rRNA from 1 species
AUCGCUCAACGGAUAAAAGCUACCCUGGGGAUAACAGGCUUAUCUCCCCCAAGAGUCCACAUCGACGGGGAGGUUUGGCACCUCGAUGUCGGCUCAUCACAUCCUGGGGCUGUAGUAGGUCCCAAGGGUUGGGCUGUUCGCCCAUUAAAGUGGUACGCGAGCUGGGUUCAGAACGUCGUGAGACAGUUCGGUCCCUAUCCGUCGCAGGCGUAGGAAAUUUGAGAAGACCUGUCCUUAGUACGAGAGGACCGGGAUGGACGUACCUCUGGUGUACCAGUUGUCCUGCCAAGGGCAUGGCUGGGUAGCUAUGUACGGAAUGGAUAAGCGCUGAAAGCAUCUAAGCGCGAAGCCAACUUCAAGAUAAGAUUUCCCACCGCAAGGGUAAGACCCCAGAAAGACUAUCUGGUUGAUAGGUCGAAGGUGUAAGUGCAGUAAUGUAUUUAGCUUAUCGAUACUAAUAGGUCGAGGACUUGACCAAU